CCUGCCUGCAGUAGUAGAUAUAAUGGUCAUCUGAGUUAAAUUCACCCAUUCCAGUCCAUUUUAGUUCACUGAUUCCUAGAAUGUAGAUGUUUACCCUUGCCAUCUCUUGUUUGACCACUUCCAAUUUGCCUUGAUUCAUGGACCUGACAUUCCAGGUUCUUAUGCAAUAUUGCUCUUUACAGUAUUGGACCUUACUUCUAUCACCAGUUACAUCCACAGCUGGGUAUUGUUUUUGCUUUGGCUCCAUCCCUUCAUUCUUUCUGGAGUUAUUUCUCCACUGAUCUCCAGUAGUGUGUUUGGGCACCUACUAACCUGGGGAGUUCCUCUUUCAUUAUCCUAUCAUCAAGAAGGGCCUAGAGGAGCUAUCUCACUUUGAAGGUCAGGAAGGGCUGGGUUGAGGAGAUACCCUUUGUCCAAAUUAAGGAGCAGCGGCUGCGCUUUGCUGGAGCCUCUGUGAAGAGAUACCCCACGCCCAAGGAGAUCUUCCUGACCGAGGGAUCAAAGUGUCGUCUCCUGCACUGCAGACGGAUUCUUUAACACCUGAGCCACCAGGGAAAAUCAGAAACAAGCCAACUACAGAAGGUGGAUAGAAUUGAAUCCAGCAAGGAACCAGAAUCUGCCAUCAACGCCAGGCAAGAGUGGAACUGCAGCUCUCCCUCCCUCUCCUAUUGCUGGUGGUCCUUCAGCUCUGCCAUCUCCCACCUCCUCUCCCAACUCCAGGCAGCCACUCUUCUUGCCUGUUCACUUGGUCCAGUCUCUGUACCAGCUGUUGUACUCUACUACUGUAGCUUUCAAGGUCGUAAAGCAGUGGAAACAACUUGCAACAUCGACAAUGCAUUUGGCCCGGGAACUGCUAAUGACAUGCAGUGAACUGAUGAUUCAAGAAGUUUACAAAGAAGAUGAGCACCUUGAAGAUGAGGAGAAUAGUGGCUGGCCGUCAGAAGUUGAUAACAACCAGUUGAGAGCCAUCAUAGAAGUUCCUUUAUAGUUACAACUAUACGAGAAGUUGGCCAGAACUCAAUGUUGAGUUCGGUGCACGCAUGCUCAGUUGCUUAGUCAUGUCUGACUCUUUGCGACCCCGUGAUCUGUAGCCUGCCAGGCUCCUCUGUCUGUGGGAUUCUCCAGGCAAGAACACUAGAACGGGUUGCCAUGCCCUCCUCCAGUGGAUCUUCC
ensembl:lncRNA